ensembl:lncRNA
CUCGGGCUGAUGGAAAGCAGAUGGCCCCAAGGAUUCUGCUUUGAGAGCUUCACUUGGUUUUUGAGCGAUAAGAGAGCCGGAGGUUGAAAAUUCCUCCCUCUUGUGUCUUGAGCAAAGGAGUGUGGGGUUCCAAGGUUGCCAGCUGGGUGGUUCCCCUUUCUGGUUUGAAUCUCUAGGAUUGCAUAGAUCCGAGGAGAAUUCCAUUUUAGGGGAGCCUCAGGCUCGGGGAGCCUAACCUCGGUUUGUCUCUGGAGCCAGCAGCCCGAUCAUUAUGGUUCUCAUCUGGUCAAUUAUUGGGGAGGUUUUGUUGGUGGUUGAUGACUCAGCGUCCCAUUUCAGAGGAACCUAAUGCAAUUGGCAAGAAAACUGUGCUCUUUUUUGUGUGUGUGUGUAAACUUAAGAGUUCUUCUUAUUAAUUUUUUUUUUUUUUUAACCAGAGUCUGUUCACGUCCUAUGAAUGAAGCAUCGCUGUGAUUUCAAAAAUGAAGACCCGUUCACGACAUCCUCACCUGGUGUCUUUCUCGUCCUCCCGGGGAGCCUGAGGCAGUUCUUAUGAUGACCAGCUGCUCUGGAGACAGCAUCCGCCAGUAAUCUCAUCGUUAUGGGAGUAACUCAAGUUUUCCAUACUCGGGAAAACAAUGCAGUGAUUCAGCUUUCCCAGCAAAAUCGAAUAAGACCCAAAGACAAACGAAGUUAACUUCAGUCCAUCUGAAAGUGUAUGAGUGUGUGUGUAUCCAGAUGGUUUUCAUCUUUUUUCCAUACAGGAAGCCAGCAAUUCCAGCGCUUUUUAUCAAAAGCUCUUCUCUUACUAAGCGGGGGAAGAACUUUUCUUGGAGUCAGAUCAUCAGACUUAGGUGUACUUCAGAUGACUUGGCAUGGUUCAGCGGUAAAGAAUCCAUCGGCCAAGCAGAAGACACAGGUUUGAUCCCUGGGUCAGAAAUAUCCCCUGGAGGAGGAAAUGGCAACCCACUGCAUUAUUCUUGCCUGGAGAAUCUCAUGGACAGAGGAGCCUGGUGAGCUACAGCCCAUGGGGUCGCAAAGAGUCGGACACGACUGAAGCAACUUAGAAUGCACACACACAAAUCUGAAUUUUACCUAUAUUCUUAGCCUGCAUUUGUCAUCCAUUUGUGAUGUU